rnacentral:tmRNA from 1 species
CUCAUUGCCAAGCUUAAAUUAAAACUAAUAAUUUUACAUGCUAACUUAGCUAUGACAAUAAACAAGUGGUAAUGCAAUAAGCUGCUGGAUCCGGGUUCAAUUCCCGGCGUCUCCAAAAAACACGGGGGCGUUAAAAGAAAGUAGACAGCAGUGUAAAGAUGCCCACGCUUGUCCGAAGCCUAUGCGUUAAAUAGGAAAAAUGUAAGCCAACACAACGAGUUUACACACGCUAACGCGUUAGUUCCAAGUAGAGCUAACGAUUAAGCGCGUGCUACCGUAGUUAGCGUUUAAGCUAUUAACGGUCAGCACAAGGGGUCAGGGGACGCCCGUCAACAGAAGUCCCCAGU